rnacentral:rRNA from 1 species
GACGAACGCUGGCGGCGUGCUUAACACAUGCAAGUCGAACGGACAGGCCCUGCUUUUGUGGGGUGCUCGAGUGGCGAACGGGUGAGUAACACGUGUGUAACCUGCCCUUGUCUUUCUGAUAACUCCAGGAGAAUGGGGCUAAUACCGGGUAGGAUCUCCUGCUGCAUGGUGGGCAUAGGAAAGUUUCGGCGUUUGGGGAUGGACUCGCGGCUUAUCCGCUUGUUGGUGGGGUAGUGGCUUACCAAGGGUUUGACGGGUAGCCGGCCUGAGAGGGUGACCGGCCACAUGAGGACUGAGAGACGGCCCAGACUCCUACGGGAGGCAGCAGUGGGGAGUAUGGCACAGUGGGCGGAAGCCUGAUGCAGCAGCGCCGCGUGCGGGAUGACGGCCUUCGGGUUGUAAACCGCUUUCGCCUGUGACGAAGCGUGAUUGACGGUAAUGGGUAAAGAAGCACCGGCUAACUACGUG